rnacentral:rRNA from 1 species
UACGUAGGGAGCAAGCGUUGUCCGGAAUCAUUGGGCGUAAAGCGCGCGUAGGUGGCCCCAUAAGUCCGCUGUGAAAGUCAAAGGCUCAACCUUUGAAAGCCGGUGGAUACUGUGGGACUAGAGUACGGAAGAGGCGAGUGGAAUUCCUGGUGUAGCGGUGGAAUGCGCAGAUAUCGGGAGGAACACCUGUGGCGAAAGCGGCUCACUGGACAGUAACUGACGCUGAUGCACGAAAGCUAGGGGAGCAAACAGG